UAAUUCGAGAAAUAAGUAAAUGUGUAGAUAAUACAGGACCAAGAUAACGUUUGGGUGGAUAAACUCGUGAUAGUCAUAUACACGAAUCAACAAAGCUAAAAGUAUGCCUUUUAUAGCAUAAUUUGGAAAAGAUUUAUGGCAUUUCUUAGAACUAUUUAGAUGUGGGUUCUCUUUGUUUUUACUAUUUAUAUGAGAUCCUUGAGAUGGGUUUUCUUGGAUUUUAAUAGGUAAACAAGCAUUAAGCACAAAACGAGUAAAAGAGGUUGAUGAAUUGUCAGAGGACAAAGGGCCUUUACCAAAAGCAAAAAGUAAGAGCUUGAAAUUUGCAAGCCAGGCAAUGAAGAAAGCUGU
rnacentral:lncRNA from 1 species